UAAUCUAUUUCAAUAACUUCACAGUUAAUCUAAUAUUGUGACACUACCAAAACCAUCAUCAAUUAUAUUGUAAAUGUAGCCUAGCAACACCUUACAAGAAGAAGUCCUCUGGAUCGAAGUAACCAUUGAAAACGCAGAACUAGAAAAGGUGAAUGCUUAUACUGGAUGUUCAAACUGCUGGAAACGCACCAACCUUCCUUUGCAGAAACGCUAUUCUUGUGCUGCAUGUUCAAAUAAGGAAUGCAUCAGUACUGAGAGGAUAACUUUCAAAUUUGAAGCUAGAGAUGACACAGGAACAAUGGCCUUCACAACAUUCAAUGAUGACACAGAAAGGUUGUUCAGAAAAACAGCAGCUACAAUCUACGCCAUAAAAGAAGCGGAUGAUCAAGACGCUUUCAGAGCUAUUCAAGACAUGUUGAGCAGCACUCCAUUCUAUAUUAAAGUAGGGCCUACUCAACACUUAGGUCAAAAUAAUGUGCUAGAGUGGACUCUUAAAACAAUUGAGCUCAAAGAAAGUCUUGACAUAGAACAGAACA